rnacentral:rRNA from 1 species
GAUGAACGCUGGCGGCGUGCCUAAUACAUGCAAGUCGAGCGAACGGACGAGAAGCUUGCUUCUCUGAUGUUAGCGGCGGACGGGUGAGUAACACGUGGAUAACCUACGUAUAAGACUGGGAUAACUUCGGGAAACCGGAGCUAAUACCGGAUGAUAUUUUGAACCGCAUGGUUCAAAAGUGAAAGACGGUCUUGCUGUCACUUAUAGAUGGAUCCGCGCUGCAUUAGCUAGUUGGUAAGGUAACGGCUUACCAAGGCAACGAUGCAUAGCCGACCUGAGAGGGUGAUCGGCCACACUGGAACUGAGACACGGUCCAGACUCCUACGGGAGGCAGCAGUAGGGAAUCUUCCGCAAUGGGCGAAAGCCUGACGGAGCAACGCCGCGUGAGUGAUGAAGGUCUUCGGAUCGUAAAACUCUGUUAUUAGGGAAGAACAUAUGUGUAAGUAACUGUGCACAUCUUGACGGUACCUAAUCAGAAAGCCACGGCUAACUACGUG